rnacentral:rRNA from 1 species
GAUGAACGCUAGCGGCAGGCCUAACACAUGCAAGUCGAGGGGUAGAGUUCUUCGGAACUUGAGACCGGCGCACGGGUGCGUAACGCGUAUGCAAUCUACCUUAUACAGGGGAAUAGCCCAGAGAAAUUUGGAUUAAUGCCCCAUAGUAUUAUUGAAUGGCAUCAUUUAAUAAUUAAAGUUCCAACGGUAUAAGAUGAGCAUGCGUCCCAUUAGUUAGUUGGUAAGGUAACGGCUUACCAAGACGAUGAUGGGUAGGGGUCCUGAGAGGGAGGUCCCCCACACUGGUACUGAGACACGGACCAGACUCCUACGGGAGGCAGCAGUGAGGAAUAUUGGUCAAUGGUCGCAAGACUGAACCAGCCAUGCCGCGUGCAGGAAGACGGUCCUAUGGAUUGUAAACUGCUUUUAUACAGGAAGAAACCCUCCCACGUGUGGGAGCUUGACGGUACUGUAGGAAUAAGGAUCGGCUAACUCCGUGCCAGCAGCCGCCGUAACAC